GACGAACGCUGGCGGCGUGCUUAACACAUGCAAGUCGAGCGGAAAGGCCCUUCGGGGUACUCGAGCGGCGAACGGGUGAGUAACACGUGAGUAACCUGCCCCAGACUUUGGGAUAACCCGCGGAAACGGGGGAUAAUACCGUAUACGACACAGAUUCGCAUGGGGGCUGUGUGGAAAGUUUAUCGGUAUGGGUUAGGCUCGCUGCCUAUCGGCUCGCUGGUGGGGUGAUGGCAUACGAAGGCGACGACGGGUAGCCGGCCUGAGAGGUCGACCGGCGACACUGCGACUACGAGACGGCGCAGACUCCUACCGGAGGCAGUGGUGGGGAGUCUUGCGCAGUGGCCGCACGUCAGAUGCGGCGACGCCGGGUGCGGGAUGCCGGCCUUCUGGUUGUAAACCUCUUUCAGCGUGGAUGAGCCGUACUUGACGGUACCUACAGAAGAAGCGCCGGCUAACUACGUG
rnacentral:rRNA from 1 species